rnacentral:rRNA from 1 species
UACGUAGGGGGCAAGCGUUGUCCGGAUUUAUUGGGCGUAAAGAGCUCGUAGGCGGUUCCGUGAGUCGGCUGUGAAAUCUCCACGCUCAACGUGGAGGGGUCAGUCGAUACUGCGGUGACUCGAGUCCGGUAGGGGAGUGUGGAAUUCCCGGUGUAGCGGUGAAAUGCGCAGAGAUCGGGAGGAACACCAGUGGCGAAGGCGGCUGUCUGGGGUAUUGCUGACGCUGAGGCACGAAAGCCAGGGGAGCGAACGGG